GCAAGUCGAACGAUGAACCGGUUUCGGCCGGGGAUUAGUGGCGAACGGGUGAGUAACACGUGGGCAAUCUGCCCUGCACUCUGGGAUAAGCCCGGGAAACUGGGUCUAAUACCGGAUACGACACUCCGAGGCAUCUCGGGGUGUGGAAAGUUCCGGCGGUGCAGGAUGAGCCCGCGGCCUAUCAGCUUGUUGGUGGGGUAAUGGCCUACCAAGGCGACGACGGGUAGCCGGCCUGAGAGGGUGACCGGCCACACUGGGACUGAGACACGGCCCAGACUCCUACGGGAGGCAGCAGUGGGGAAUAUUGCACAAUGGGCGAAAGCCUGAUGCAGCGACGCCGCGUGAGGGAUGACGGCCUUCGGGUUGUAAACCUCUUUCAGCAGGGAAGAAGCGAAAGUGACGGUACCUGCAGAAGAAGCACCGGCUAACUACGUGCCAGCAGCCGCGGUAAUACGUAGGGUGCGAGCGUUGUCCGGAAUUAUUGGGCGUAAAGAGCUCGUAGGCGGUUUGUCGCGUCGAUUGUGAAAGCCCGGGGCUUAACCCUGGGUCUGCAGUCGAUACGGGCAGGCUAGAGUUCGGCAGGGGAGACUGGAAUUCCUGGUGUAGCGGUGAAAUGCGCAGAUAUCAGGAGGAACACCGGUGGCGAAGGCGGGUCUCUGGGCCGAUACUGACGCUGAGGAGCGAAAGCGUGGGGAGCGAACAGGAUUAGAUACCCUGGUAGUCCACGCCGUAAACGGUGGGCACUAGGUGUGGGCAACAUUCCACGUUGUCCGUGCCGCAGCUAACGCAUUUAAGUGCCCCGCCUGGGGAGUACGGCCGCAAGGCUAAACUCAAAGGAAUUGACCGGGGGCCCGCACAAGCGGCGGAGCAUGUGGCUUAAUUCGACGCCACGCGAAGAACCUUACCAAGGCUUGACAUACAUCGGAAACGGCCAGAGAUGGUCGCCCCCUUGUGGUCGGUGUACAGGUGGUGCAUGGCUGUCGUCAGCUCGUGUCGUGAGAUGUUGGGUUAAGUCCCGCAACGAGCGCAACCCUUGUCCUGUGUUGCCAGCAACCUCUUCGGAGGGUCGGGGACUCACGGGAGACUGCCGGGGUCAACUCGGAGGAAGGUGGGGACGACGUCAAGUCAUCAUGCCCCUUAUGUCUUGGGCUGCACACGUGCUACAAUGGCCGGUACAAUGAGCUGCGAUGCCGUGAGGUGGAGCGAAUCUCAAAAAGCCGGUCUCAGUUCGGAUUGGGGUCUGCAACUCGACCCCAUGAAGUCGGAGUCGCUAGUAAUCGCAGAUCAGCAUUGCUGCGGUGAAUACGUUCCCGGGCCUUGUACACACCGCCCGUCACGUCAUGAAAGUCGGUAACACCCGAAGCCGGUGGCCUAACCCCUUGUGGGAGGGAGCUGUCGAA
rnacentral:rRNA from 1 species